CGGUCUAAAUGAAAUUAUUAUGUUCUAUUUUGUGCUCGAAAUCGUGAAAGCACUCGGUUGUUUUUCUGAUCGAUUUGUUUCACUAUACUCGUGGACUGCGACAGGGUUUUUCUAAGCGGUGGGCGAACAUGAACUAAUCGUUAAUCGUUGUAAUAGUCUUAUAAGGUUAUUAAAGUGGCUAGGUAGUGACUACUCUAAAAUAUUUUCAAAAGGUAUUGAUUCUUUUC